AGUAAAAGUCGUAACAAGGUUUCCCUAGGUGAACCUGCGGAAGGAUCAUUAAAGAGUAAGGGUGCUCAGCGCCCGACCUCCAACCCUUUGUUGUUAAAACUACCUUGUUGCUUUGGCGGGACCGCUCGGUCUCGAGCCGCUGGGGAUUCGUCCCAGGCGAGCGCCCGCCAGAGUUAAACCAAACUCUUGUUAUUAAACCGGUCGUCUGAGUUAAAAUUUUGAAUAAAUCAAAACUUUCAACAACGGAUCUCUUGGUUCUCGCAUCGAUGAAGAACGCAGCGAAAUGCGAUAAGUAAUGUGAAUUGCAGAAUUCAGUGAAUCAUCGAAUCUUUGAACGCACAUUGCGCCCCUUGGUAUUCCGAGGGGCAUGCCUGUUCGAGCGUCAUUACACCACUCAAGCUAUGCUUGGUAUUGGGUGCCGUCCUUAGUUGGGCGCGCCUUAAAGACCUCGGCGAGGCCUCACCGGCUUUAGGCGUAGUAGAAUUUAUUCGAACGUCUGUCAAAGGAGAGGACUUCUGCCGACUGAAACCUUUAUUUUUCUAGGUUGACCUCGGAUCAGGUAGGGAUACCCGCUGAACUUAAGCAUAUCA
rnacentral:rRNA from 1 species